UACGUAGGGUGCGAGCGUUGCCCGGAUUUAUUGGGCGUAAAGGGCGCGUAGGCGGCUUGUACAGUCAGACGUGAAAUCCCUCGGCUCAACUGAGGAUCGUCGAUCGAUACUGCCGUUCUUGAGGAUUGCAGAGGAGACUGGAAUUCCCGGUGUAGCGGUGAAAUGUGUAGAGAUCGGGAGGAACACCGGUGGCGAAGGCGGGUCUCUGGGCAAUUCCUGACGCUGAGGAGCGAAAGCGUGGGGAGCGAACAGG
rnacentral:rRNA from 1 species